GAUGAGCGCUGGCGGCGUGCCUAAUACAUGCAAGUCGAGCGAACAGACGAGGAGCUUGCUCCUCUGACGUUAGCGGCGGACGGGUGAGUAACACGUGGAUAACCUACCUAUAAGACUGGGAUAACUUCGGGAAACCGGAGCUAAUACCGGAUAAUAUAUUGAACCGCAUGGUUCAAUAGUGAAAGACGGUUUUGCUGUCACUUAUAGAUGGAUCCGCGCCGCAUUAGCUAGUUGGUAAGGUAACGGCUUACCAAGGCUACGAUGCGUAGCCGACCUGAGAGGGUGAUCGGCCACACUGGAACUGAGACACGGUCCAGACUCCUACGGGAGGCAGCAGUAGGGAAUCUUCCGCAAUGGGCGAAAGCCUGACGGAGCAACGCCGCGUGAGUGAUGAAGGUCUUCGGAUCGUAAAACUCUGUUAUUAGGGAAGAACAAAUGUGUAAGUAACUAUGCACGUCUUGACGGUACCUAAUCAGAAAGCCACGGCUAACUACGUG
rnacentral:rRNA from 1 species